AUUUUUUCCCUGGGUUUAGAUCCCUUGUUUUCAGAAAUGUGGUUGCAAAUAAUGAGGGCUAGAAAGUUAUUUCCUGGUAAGAGGAAGCUUGGCUCCACAGUUUUCCCAGGUUCCCUCAUGCUUCUGACACAUGCAGAGCUCUUGCCUGUUUCUUAAUAGUAUGCAGCAGCCGGAGUCAGGCUACUUCAUCCUAUUGAGCCAUAGGUUCCCAUAAGAAGGAAGGUUCUCCCAGAGGAUGGUCAAAUAAACAGAACCCUCAUCUGGAUUCUAGAAUGUUAAAUAUAUUGUUGGGUAUAGAUACUCCUGACCAUGAGAAGCAUGGAACCUACUGCAGUUUCCAUGGCAACCAUCUGAAAGCUACAGAGGACUAUGGAGGGUUCAGCAUUUAUCACAGAAGAAGUGGAAAUCAGGAGUCCUGUACUUUUCAAUAUAUCAUAAGUGAGGAACCACUUUCCAUAUCUUGUUGGACUCCAACCCCAUCAGCUCCAGUUAGCAUGCAUGGCCAAUGGUAGGUAAUGGUUGUAGACCUGCCAUAUCUGAAGGAGUGGUUUCCUUAUGCUAUCAUUUAGUAGGAAUGUAUUGCCUGUGGAAUCACCAAGGAUGGUGCAUAAAGAAAGCUUGGAAGAGG
rnacentral:lncRNA from 1 species